rnacentral:rRNA from 1 species
CCUACGGGUGGCAGCAGUGGGGAAUAUUGGACAAUGGGGGGAACCCUGAUCCAGCCAUGCCGCGUGUGUGAAGAAGGCCCUCGGGUUGUAAAGCACUUUCAGUGAGGAAGAACGCCUGGUGGUUAAUACCCAUCAGGAAAGACAUCACUCACAGAAGAAGCACCGGCUAACUCCGUGCCAGCAGCCGCGGUAAUACGGAGGGUGCGAGCGUUAAUCGGAAUUACUGGGCGUAAAGCGCGCGUAGGUGGCUUGAUAAGCCGGUUGUGAAAGCCCCGGGCUCAACCUGGGAACGGCAUCCGGAACUGUCAAGCUAGAGUGCAGGAGAGGAAGGUAGAAUUCCCGGUGUAGCGGUGAAAUGCGUAGAGAUCGGGAGGAAUACCAGUGGCGAAGGCGGCCUUCUGACUGACACUGACACUGAGGUGCGAAAGCGUGGGUAGCAAACAGGAUUAGAUACCCCAGUAGUC